AAACAUUCUCAGGGCGGGGUGAAAUUCCCCACCGGCGGUAUGUGGCCUUGCGUCACCAGCCCGCGAGCGCAGCGUGCCCUUCUUUGGGCCGCUGGUCAGCAGAUCUGGUGCGAUGCCAGAGCCGACGGUCAUAGUCCGGAUGGAAGAGAAUGCGG
rnacentral:ncRNA from 2 species